rnacentral:rRNA from 1 species
AAAGCGUAUAUUAAAGUUGUUGCAGUUAAAAAGCUCGUAGUUGAACCUUGGGCUUGGUUGGCCGGUCCAUCUUUUUGAUGCGUACUGGACCCAACCGAGCCUUUCCUUCUGGCUAGCCUUUUGGCGAACCAGGACUUUUACUUUGAAAAAAUUAGAGUGUUCAAAGCAGGCCUUUGCUCGAAUAUAUUAGCAUGGAAUAAUAGAAUAGGACGUUAUGGUUCUAUUUUGUUGGUUUCUAGGACCAUCGUAAUGAUUAAUAGGGACGGUCGGGGGUAUCAGUAUUCAGUUGUCAGAGGUGAAAUUCUUGGAUUUACUGAAGACUAACUACUGCGAAAGCAUUUACCAAGGACGUUUUCAUUAAUCAAGAACGAAAGUUAGGGGAUCGAAGAUGAUCAGAUACCGUCGUAGUCUUAACCAUAAACUAUGCCGACUAGGGAUCGGUUGUUGUUCUUUUAUUGACGCAAUCGGCACCUUACGAGAAAUCAAAGUCUUUGGGUUCUGGGGGGAGUA